CACGUAGGGGGCAAGCGUUGUCCGGAUUUAUUGGGCGUAAAGAGCUCGUAGGUGGCUCGGUAAGUCGGGUGUGAAAUUUCGAGGCUCAACCUCGAGACGCCACCUGAUACUGCUGUGGCUAGAGUCCGGUAGGGGAGCGUGGAAUUCCUGGUGUAGCGGUGAAAUGCGCAGAUAUCAGGAGGAACACCAGCGGCGAAGGCGGCGCUCUGGGCCGGUACUGACACUGAGGAGCGAAAGCGUGGGGAGCAAACAGG
rnacentral:rRNA from 1 species